rnacentral:misc_RNA from 1 species
AAGUCGUAACAAGGUUUCCGUAGGUGAACCUGCGGAAGGAUCAUUAAAAACUUUUAUCCGGGAAUUCGUUUCGUCUUCCCGGAUUAUUUGUAUUCAAAUCCCACUCUUUAUAAAUAUAUCAAUUAUAUAAAACAAAAAAUAAAAAAAGAAAACUUUCAACAACGGAUCUCUUGGCUCUC